AUUGAACGCUGGCGGCAGGCUUAACACCUGCAAGUCGAGCGAGCGGCGGACGGGUGAGUAAUGUCUGGGAAACUGCCUGAUGGAGGGGGAUAAAUACUGGAAACGGUAGCUAAUACCGCAUACCAUCAGAUGUGCCCAGAUGGGAUUAGCUAGUAGGUGGGGUAAAGGCUCACCUAGGCGACGAUCCCUAUCUGGUCUGAGAGGAUGACCAGACACACGGGGACUGAGAGACGGUGCAGACUCCUAUGUGAGGCAGCAGUGGGGAAUAUUUCACAAUGGGCGCAAGCCGGAUGCAGCCAUGCCGCGUGUGUGAAGAAGGCCUUCGGGUUGUAAAGCACUUUCGGCGAGGAGGCGUUACUCGCAGAAGAAGCACCGGCUAACUCCGUGCCAGCAGCCGCGGUAAUAC
rnacentral:rRNA from 1 species